rnacentral:tRNA from 1 species
CGCGGGGUGUUGAAACGGCAUCAUCUUGGGCUCAUAAUCCAAGGUUGCGGGUUCGAAUCCCGCCCCCGCAA